rnacentral:rRNA from 1 species
GACGAACGCUGGCGGCGUGCCUAAUACAUGCAAGUCGAACGCAGUGGGGACGGGUGAGUAACACGUGGGUAACCUCCCAUCAGAGGGGAUAACACGUGGAAACAGGUGCUAAACCGAUACUGAUGGAUGGACCCGCGGUGCAUUAGCUAGUGGGUGAGGUAACGGCUCACCAAGGCUACGAUGCAUAGCCGGCCUGAGAGGGUGAUCAGCCACACUGGGACUGAGACACGGCCCAGACUCCUACGGGAGGCAGCAGUAGGGAAUCUUGGGCAAUGGGCGAAAGUCUGACCGAGCAACGCCGCGUGAAUGAAGAAGGUCUUCGGGUUGUAAAGCUCUGUUAGUAGGGAGGCGUUAUCUACACAAGAAGCAACGGCUAACUACGUGCCAGCAGCCGCGGUAAUUC